rnacentral:lncRNA from 1 species
CUCCCUCCCCACGGCCUCAAGUCUCGCCAGUGAUGGAGAGAGCGUCACCGUCUCCUAGCAACGCUCCUAGCAACGCUCCUAGCAACCGGGCAACAUCUGCUCCCGCUGGACCAAUCCGCGCCGGGAACAUCUGGGCACCCACCUCCGCGGGCUGCGGCCGGGAGGUGAUGCGCUCCUCAGUGGCUGCAGGGACCCGCAGGAGCUGCCACCGCCGCCGCCACCUCCAUCGCCACCUCCACCGCCACCACCGCCUCCAGGAGCAGCGGGCGGCUCCGGGCAGCGAGGGAAGGACGGGGAGCAGCCCUCCCUCCGGAGCCGGGGCUCGCUGGGUAACCGUUCAGCAGUGCUGUGCUGCCAGAAAUGCUCGCUGA